rnacentral:rRNA from 1 species
GUCUCUGAGCAAAUCACCUUGAAUGCACCCCAAUCGCGUCAGAUCUCAGAACUUAAGCAGGGUGCAGCCUGGGUAGUGCUUUAAUGGGUGACCACCAUGCACAACAGGUGUUACAGGCU